rnacentral:tRNA from 1 species
GGUUUUAUAUUCAAAAUUGAUUCUAGGCUGCAAUCCUAGAGGUGUAAAUAAAUUUUACUAAGGCCU